UACGUAGGCAGCGAGCGUUGUUCGGAAUUACUGGGCGUAAAGCGUGUGUAGGCGGCUAGGUAAGUCGGAUGUGAAAGCCCCGGGCUCAACUCGGGAAGUGCACUCGAUACUGCUUAGCUCGAGUACCGGAGAGGUUGGUGGAAUUCUCGGUGUAGAGGUGAAAUUCGUAGAUAUCGAGAGGAACACCGGUGGCGAAGGCGGCCAACUGGACGAGUACUGACGCUGAGACACGAAAGCGUGGGGAGCAAACAGG
rnacentral:rRNA from 1 species